rnacentral:tRNA from 7 species
GGGCGGUUAGCUCAGUGGUAGAGCACUACCUUGACAUGGUAGGGGUCACAGGUUCGAGCCCUGUACCGCCCACCA